UACGGGGGGGGCAAGCGUUGUUCGGAAUUACUGGGCGUAAAGGGCUCGUAGGCGGCCAACUAAGUCAGACGUGAAAUCCCUCGGCUUAACCGGGGAACUGCGUCUGAUACUGGAUGGCUUGAGAUUGGGAGAGGGAUGCGGAAUUCCAGGUGUAGCGGUGAAAUGCGUAGAUAUCUGGAGGAACACCGGUGGCGAAGGCGGCGUCCUGGACCAGCACUGACACUGAUGAGCGAAAGCCAGGGGAGCAAACGGG
rnacentral:rRNA from 1 species